rnacentral:rRNA from 1 species
AUGAACGCUUGCGGCGUGCCUCAUCCAUUCCAGUCGCGCGAACAGACGAGGAGCUUGCUCCUCUGACGUUAGCGGCGGACGGGUGAGUAACACGUGGAUAACCUACCUAUAAGACUGGGAUAACUUCGGGAAACCGGAGCUAAUACCGGAUAAUAUAUUGAACCGCCUGGUUCAAUAGUGAAAGACGGUUUUGCUGUCACUUAUAGAUGGAUCCGCGCCGCAUUAGCUAGUUGGUAAGGUAACGGCUUACCAAGGCAACGAUGCGUAGCCGACCUGAGAGGGUGAUCGGCCACACUGGAACUGAGACACGGUCCAGACUCCUACGGGAGGCAGCAGUAGGGAAUCUUCCGCAAUGGGCGAAAGCCUGACGGAGCAACGCCGCGUGAGUGAUGAAGGUCUUCGGAUCGUAAAACUCUGUUAUUAGGGAAGAACAAAUGUGUAAGUAACUAUGCACGUCUUGACGGUACCUAAUCAGAAAGCCACGGCUAACUACGUG